AACACACAAGACCGGGACCUCUCCCCAAGUAAUCCCCAGCUUGCCCCAGUGAGACGAAGGGAACCAGAUCUGCUAACGACGCGGACGCUACCAGCGCCUAAUGCCGAGGAACAACGACCCGGACCCCAUGACUUCACAAGAAGGAGUUACAGGCAGCUCAUGAAGUGAACAGCGGGCGUCCCUAAUCCUAUCUGAAUGAGUGGUUGCAGGAAAAGGAGAUACUUUAGAGAUCUGCCGUCCGCUUAAGGCUUUUCUCUUCCUCUUUUACCAAGUUGUUCACUGCAGCUGCUAAAUUUGACAAAGCUUUGCCGGAUGUGGCCUUGGCAAACCAGCUCUGAGCCGGAUGCGCAGCUUGGAGCAGGAAUACAGGGCAACACCCAAAACAAACAAGGGUCAAAAAUUAGCCAAACCGCCACACUGAAGAUUGGUAAUUCAGACUGUAGAAAACAGUACUGUUAUUAAAAUGUGUCUGCUUUUUAAAAAAUAAAUUUCUGGAUUUGGC